UCAGGACGAACGCUGGCGGCGUGCCUAACACAUGCAAGUCGAGCGGGACUUACGACUGAAUUGAAGACUUCGGUUGAAUAUGAAGAUGUAAAGUUCUAGCGGCGGACGGGUGAGUAACGCGUGAGCAACCUGUCCCUUACAGGGGGAUAACACAGCGAAAGUUGUACUAAUACCGCAUGAGACCACAGAGUGACAUCACUCAGGGGUCAAAGGAGCAAUCCGGUAAGGGGUGGGCUCGCGUCCGAUUAGAUAGUUGGUGAGGUAACGGCCCACCAAGUCGACGAUCGGUAGCCGACCUGAGAGGGUGAUCGGCCACAUUGGGACUGAGACACGGCCCAAACUCCUACGGGAGGCAGCAGUGGGGAAUAUUGGGCAAUGGGGGGAAACCCUGACCCAGCAACGCCGCGUGAGGGAAGAAGGUUUUCGGAUCGUAAACCUCUGUCCUUGGUGAAGAGUAAGAGACGGUAGCCAAGGAGGAAGCCCCGGCUAACUACGUGCCAGCAGCCGC
rnacentral:rRNA from 1 species